GCUUAUCAUUGAAAGCAUACUGAUACUUAAUAUAAAAUAUUAGGUCUACCAAAAAGUUUUGUCCGUUUUUGAAUUAAAAGAAAAUAAUAUAUUUCCAAUAUAUUUAUUAAUAUUUACUGAACAAUAUAAUUUCUAUAACUACUAAUCACCUCUUUUCAACUUGAUGGUAAUUUAUGGAUUGGCUCCAUUUCAAUAGAAUCAUCUUUGGAGGCAUAAAAUUUAAGCAGUGCUUGGCUGAUAUCUGCUUCAUUUUUGAAUUUUUUUCUCUACAACAAAUUUUACAGAGAGAGAAACAAAUGAAACCUGAGAAUAUGGUGGAUGUGACAGAAUUUCCCAGCCUAUCUCUGCAAUUUUUUAGCGAGUCGCCAAAACAGCAUGUGGUUUGGCACUGUGGUGUAGCAUGAUUUACUUCCUAUUGACGAACGUCAAUUUUUUUCCUUGAGUGCUUCGUUCAAAUCAUCUAUUCUUCAUCAAUACAUUCCAAAAUUGAGCCUUCCUUUAGAUUUGAGAAGCUCAUAGUGUAUUGGUCUUUUGAUGUCUCCCUAUAUACACGAUAUUCUCUUAUUGAGGCUGAGCUUUGUUUCGAGGUGAAGGGGAAGGUCGUUUGGAGUCGUAUUAACUCAUGAGGCAUCAUCUGGGUUAUUUAUAUACCAUUCCAAGCUUCCGAAUAUGGUCCAGAAUGGUUUGUUGUGUUGAAUUGAGCUUUACUAAGAUUUCUGAUGUUAUCAAGAAAGUAUCUUGCUGUAUAAUCGUCCUAACAAUAUCGUCAUCAAUUAAAGAUUGUCUCCCAGAGCAUAGUUUAUUAUUAAGAUUGAAAUCGCCUGCUUCAAAUUUUUCGGACCAUCCCCUGCAUGUUCUGUUGGAAACUAUCUUCACCAAAAAUGUUCAAAUUUCUACAUGCUUCUACAGCAUUUCUACCUUUUUGGAAUUCAUAUAGAAUGCAAUGCAGCAAAUGAAUUUUAUCAAUAGACAUGUUUACACAAACAAAUCUCACUUAAUAUUGAAAUGAUGAAAUCAUUGUUUCCGUAAAUUUAGAGAAAAGUGAAGAGACAACCAUAUAUGUUUUAAACGAAUAUGUUCAUACAUAUUCAAACUUGAGAUGACAGAUCAGAAUUAUCGGACAGAACUUUCCAAUA